rnacentral:rRNA from 1 species
GAUGAACGCUGGCGGCGUGCCUAAUACAUGCAAGUCGAGCGAACAGACGCGGAGCUUGCUCCUCUGACGUUAGCGGCGGACGGGUGAGUAACACGUGUAUAACCUACCUAUAAGACUGGGAUAACUUCGGGAAACCGGAGCUAAUACCGGAUAAUAUAUUGAACCGCAUGGUUCAAUAGUGAAAGACGGUUUUGCUGUCACUUAUAGCUGGAUCCGCGCUGCAUUAGCUAGUUGGUAAGGUAACGGCUUACCAAGGCAACGAUGCGUAGCCGACCUGAGAGGGUGAUCGGCCACACUGGAACUGAGACACGGUCCAGACUCCUACGGGAGGCAGCAGUAGGGAAUCGUCCGCAAUGGGCGAAAGCCUGACGGAGCAACGCCGCGUGAGUGAUGAAGGUCUUCGGAUCGUAAAACUCUGUUAUUAGGGAAGAACAAAUGUGUAAGUAACUAUGCACGUCUUGACGGUACCUAAUCAGAAAGCCACGGCUAACUACGUG